AUGGCUUUACUCACUGUGGCCACCCAGCUCUUGGGAACCAAGAAUACAUCUUGUCUUGUUCUUGCUGCUCAGCAUGCCAGUGCUUCCUCCGCAAAUUUGAAAGACACGUUGGCUGACCUGAUUCCUAAGGAGCAGGCCAGAAUCAAGCCCUUCAGGCAGCAACAUGGCAAGACAGCGCUAGACCCAAUCACUGUGCGCACGACGCGUGGUGACGUCAGAGGCGCACAGGGAGGGUCUGUGAAACAUCAGUUCUUGAUCCUGAUGACGGCAUCCGUUUCCGAGGCUUUAGCAUCCCUGAAGGCCAAAAAGUGCUACCCAAGGCUGACGGUGGGGAAGGACCCCUGCCCAAGGGCUUAUUUUGGCUGCUGGUAACUAGACAGAUUCCAACAGAGGAACAGGUAUCUGGGCUCUCAAAACAGUGGGCAAAGCGGGCAGCUCUGCCUUCCCAUGUGGUCACCACACUGGACAACUUUCCCACCAAUCUACACCCACAUCUCAGCUCAGUGCAGCCGGUACAGCCUCAACAAUGAAAGUGACUUUGCCUGAGCAUAUGCAGCGGUAUCAACCAAACCAAGUACUAGGAGUUGGUUUAUGAAGACUCUAUGGAUCUAAUGGCAAAGCUACCGUGUGUUGCAGCAAAGAUCUACUGACAUCUCUACAGAGAAGGCGGCAAUAUUGCGGCCAUUGACUCUAAGCUGGACUGGCCCCACAGUUUCACCAACGUGUUGGACUAUACUGAUGGGCUACACUAACAUGAAUUCACUGGGCUCAUGCACCUCUACCUCACCAUGCACAGUGACCAUGAGGAUGGCAAUGUAAUGCCCAUACCAGCCACUUGGCCCUUUCAGACCCUUACCUGUCCUUUGCAGCAGUGGUGAACAGGCUGUCAGGGCCUCUCCAGGGGCUGGCAAAUCAGGAAGUGCUUGUCUGGCUAACACAGCUACAGAAGGAAGUUGGUGAAGAUGUGUCAGAUGAGAAGUUACAAGACCACAUCUGGAACACACUCAACUUGGGACGGGUUUUUCCAGGCUAUGGCCAUGCAGUACUAAGGAAACUGAUCCAUGAUAUAACCCGUCAGUGAGAGUUUGCUCUGACACACCUGCCUAAUGAUCCCAUGUUUAAGUUGAUUGCUCAGCUAUACGAGAUUAUGCUCAACGUCCUCUUAGAAUAAGGUAAGGCCAAGAAUCCUUGGCCCAAUGUCGAUGGUCAGAGUCGGGUGCUGCUCCAGUACUAUGGCAUGACAGAGAUGACCUACUACGCGGUCCUGUUUGGGGUGUCACGAGCAUUGGGUGUAUUGGCACAGCUCAUCUGGAGCCGAGCCGUAGGCUUCCCUCUAGAAAGACCCAAGUCCAUGAGCACAGACGGUCUGAUGAAGUUGGUAGACUCUAAGUCAGGGUAA